GCUUGUCUCAAAGAUUAAGCCAUGCAUGUCUAAGUAUAAAUAUCUAUACUGUGAAACUGCGUAUGGCUCAUUAAAUCAGUUAUAGUUUAUUUGAUGAUACCCCACUACAUGGAUAACCGUAGUAAUUCUAGAGCUAAUACAUGCGUCAAAUCCCGACUUUUUGGAAGGGAUGUAUUUAUUAGAUAACAGACCAAUGCCCCCCCGGGCUUUGUGGUGACUCAUAGUAACUAAUCGGAUCGCAUGGGCCUGUCCCGCGACAAACCAUUCAAGUUUCUGCCCCAUCAGCUUUCGAUGGUAGUGUAUUGGACUACCAUGGCUUUUACGGGUAACGGAGGAUUAGGGUUCGAUUCCGGAGAGGGAGCCUGAGAAACGGCUACCACAUCUAAGGAAGGCAGCAGG
rnacentral:rRNA from 1 species